CCUACGGGAGGCAGCAGUGAGGAAUAUUGGUCAAUGGUCGGGAGACUGAACCAGCCAAGCCGCGUGAGGGAUGAAGGUACAGAGUAUCGUAAACCUCUUUUGUCAGGGAACAAAGGCGGGGACGCGUCCCCGGAUGAGUGUACCUGAAGAAAAAGCAUCGGCUAACUCCGGCCCAGCAGCCGCGGUAAUACGGAGACUGCGAGCGUUAUCAGGAUUUAUUGGGUUUAAAGGGUGCGCAGGCGGUCUGUUAAGUCAGCGGUCAAAGCCCGGGGCUCAACCCCGGCCCGCCGUUGAAACUGGCAGUCGCGAGUUGGAGAGAAGUAUGCGGAAUGCGCGGUGUAGCGGUGAAAUGCAUAGAUAUCGCGCAGAACUCCGAUUGCGAAGGCAGCAUGCCGGCUCCACACUGACGCUGAGGCACGAAAGCGUGGGUAUCGAACAGGAUUAGAUACCCUUGUAGUC
rnacentral:rRNA from 1 species